rnacentral:tRNA from 1 species
UGAGGCCUUAGCUUAAUUAAAGUGUCUGGGUUGCAUUCAGAAGAUGUAUUUUGUACUUUACAGGUCUUCAGAAAUU